rnacentral:rRNA from 1 species
UGUAAACCGACACUGGUGGGUGAGCAGAUAAUCUGCCAAGGCGCUUGAGAGAACUCGGGUUAAGGAACUCUGCAAAUUGAUACCGUAACUUCGGAAGAAGGUAUGCCUUCGACGGUGUAGGGAUUUACUCCCGAAGCUGUUGAAGGUCGCAGGUAAUCGGUGGCUGCGACUGUUUAUCAAAAACACAGGACUCUGCGAACACGCAAGUGGAAGUAUAGGGUCUGACGCCUGCCCGGUGCCGGAAGGUUAAUUGAUGGGGUUAGCCGCAAGGCGAAGCUCUUGAUCGAAGCCCCGGUAAACGGCGGCCGUAACAAUAACGGUCCUAAGGUAGCGAAAUUCCUUGUCGGGUAAGUUCCGACCUGCACGAAUGGCGUAACGCUGGCCACACUGUCUCGACCCGAGACUCAGUGAAGUUGAAAUCGCUGUGAAGAUGCGGCGUUCCCGCGGCAAGACGGAAAGACCCCGUGAACCUUCACUACAGCUUUACACUGAACUUUGAACCUUUCUGUGUAGGAUAGGUGGGAGGCUAUGAAACUUGGGCGCUAGCUCGAGUGGAGCCAACCUUGAAAUACCACCCUGGGAUGUUUGAAGUUCUAACCUUGGUCCGUAAUCCGGAUUGGGGACAGUGUAUGGUGGGUAGUUUGACUGGGGCGGUCUCCUCCCAAAGAGUAACGGAGGAGUGCAAUGGUACGCUCAGCGCGGUCGGUCAUCGCGCUCUAGAGUGCAAAGGCAUAAGCGUGCUUAACUGUGAGACAGACACGUCGAACAGGUACGAAAGUAGGUCUUAGUGAUCCGGUGGUUCUGUAUGGAAGGGCCAUCGCUCAACGGAUAAAAGGUACUCCGCGGAUAACAGGCUUAUUCCUCCCAAGAGUCCACAUCGACGGAGGAGUUUGGCACCUCGAUGUCGGCUCAUCACAUCCUGGGGCUGUAGCAGGUCCCAAGGGUAUGGCUGUUCGCCAUUUAAAGUGGUACGCGAGCUGGGUUCAGAACGUCGUGAGACAGUUCGGUCCCUAUCUGCCGUGGGCGUUGGAAACUUGAGGGUGAGCUGUCCUUAGUACGAGAGGACCGGGAUGGACGUAUCUCUGGUGUUCCGGUUGUCACGCCAGUGGCACUGCCGGGUAGCUAUAUACGGACGGGAUAAGCGCUGAAAGCAUCUAAGCGCGAAGCCCCCCCCAAGAUUAGGUUUCCCUGGGAACUCGAUUCCCCUAAAGGGCCGUCGGAGACUACGACGUUGAUAGGCUGGGUGUGUAAGUGCAGCAAUGCAUUGAGCUAACCAGUACUAAUUGCCCGUGAGGCUUGACCAU